AUGAGUGACACUUCAGUUUUGCAUCUUGUAAAACAAGAUGUCAAAGUAGGAAGUUUCCCAUCAAUUAUCUAUAAUUAUUCAGAAACUUUUGACUUAUCCAAAGAUCCCUAUCCAGAAAUGAAAACAUGUUACGUCACAGAGCUCAUUAGUGGCAGAAGACUUAAUUCAAUUCAAGUUUUCUCUAUAAUACCACAUCGCAUCUUUGUAUGUUUUCCUUUCUAUAAAUAUGUACAUGUCUUUAUUAAAUUUUUACAUAAUUUAAAAUUUUCCCUUACAGAGGAAUUCAUAAAUGUGAUUAUCACUUAUUCUAAUCCUAUUCCCUUUAUUUCCUCAUUUGAACAGCCAGCCGUUUGGACCUCAAGACAGAAUGAAUUAAAAAUCCAAUAGACUUUCUAGUCCAAGCUGCCAUUCUUGGUCACCAGAAUGGCAGAAUGAAGAAACUCAAAUACAUCCAAAGGUGAGUGCAAGAAGAAAAGCCACAAUGGACAUUCCUCAGCCAGGGGGGUGAGGCUUGAAGAACCACAACAGCCUGCACUGGGCCUGCAGCUGCUGGCAAAGACAAGGAGUACUGGGCCAAGACUGCUGAGUAACUGAUUCAGAUACCGAGCCUUCUGCUGAGUCUGCUGGCACUCACCAUCUUCAAAGGACCACCACCCCAUACAUCCCUUUGAAGAACUUGCUGUACUCAGGACAAAAUAUCAAAAUUCUUGCUGUUUAAUUUUCAUAGGAAGCCAAGACACUGAUAAAUGAGAGCUCAUCUAUACAUGUUUUUACCCUGUUACCUAAGAAACUAUCUUCAAAACAGAAGUCCUCAUAAAUACUCUGGAGAUGCUUCAGACACUCUCCGGUGCUGUGCGACACUGUGUAUAUUGUUUGGCAGGAGUUCAUGGGGGAAGAUAAACUAGCACAUUUUGCCAGGAUUCUAUUACUCUUGACCUUGACCUUGGCUCGGGGCUGUUUCCAGUUAUACUCCAUCUUAGAGAAAGACAGCGCCUAAUCUUCCCUUGAGUUUCCUUCUUCCCUUCCUCUUUCAGUUGCACCGAGCCCAGUACUCGCUGUGCUGCCUCAUGGGAGGGAAGAAACUGGUGCUGGCUGCAGCUCUCCAACAUUGGGUUUUUCUUUUGAAUGCAAAAGCUCAAUCGAGACCAUGAAAUCCUCUCUUUUAGGCAAAGGAGAUUCACUCUCAACAAGUAUUUGAUUUUUGCACAGUCUUGCUCACUAGUAUUCUGCCUCUUAAUUGUUGACCUAAUUCAUCAGUUCCCACUCUGCAACAUGGAGUAGCUCAGUUCCCCACACAUGGUCUAGAAGCGGGUGUAUUCCAUCUCUUACUCCCAACAGCUUAGGCUAGACUCACCACACAUAUUCUCCAGGGGAAAAAAUGUAACCUAUCAAGCUGGUAUCCUUAACUACAAAGCCUGUACAUUCUACCAGGGGUGGGUGGGAAUCGUUUUUUCUGGCAAGGACCAUUUGGAUAUUUAUAACAUCACUAGAGAGCCAUACAAAAUUAUCAGCUUAAAAAUUAGCCUGCUAUAGAUUUAUUGAAUUUCAGGUUCCAACUGCUGUUGCCUUGGCAGGACCAGGGAAAAUACUUUUGCAGGACUGUAUAAGUUACUUUUUACAGGCCAGCGCCGUGGCUCACUAGGCUAAUCCUCCGCCUUGCGGUGCCCCCACACCGGGUUCUAGUCCCGGUUGGGGCGCCAGAUUCUGUCCCAGUUGCCCCUCUUCCAGGACAGCUCUCUGCUGUGGCCAGGGAGUGCAGUGGAGGAUGGCCCAAGUACUUGGGCCCUGCACCCCAUGGGACACCAGGACAAGUACCUGGCUCCUGCCAUCGGAUCAGCGCGGUGCGCUAGCCACAGCGCGCCGGCUGCGGCGGCCAUUGGAGGGUGAACCAACGGCAAAGGAAGACCUCGUCUGUCUCUCUCUCUCACUCACCGUCCACUCUGCCUGUAAAUAAAUAAAUAAGUUACUUUUUACA
rnacentral:lncRNA from 1 species